UUGUCCGAAUAAUUUCUAGGUUCUUAAGCUAUCUUUCAAUCUAGCUAGACUUUACAUAGAGAAGUAGUAGUCUGGUGUCACUCUGAUAUGAGCCUCUUGAAAUUCUCCCAUACACACUCUUUCUGUUUGUAUAUAUAGUAACCAUCAUUUGCCCUUCUACGUUGAAAAGAUUUUGCAGAAGAAACGACUGUUUUCCCAUGUCUUAAGACAUACAUGCCUUUUCACUAUAUAUAUUCUGCUUCACUCUCGAAUAUAACCCUUGCUAAGCUUAACUUCUUAUAUCUUCCACAUAUAUAAUGUAACCUAUAUAGUUUCCAAGGAAUUAGUUUGUUCAAACCGGUGUUAUAAUAAUCAUUGAAGGGACUUGAUGUAGUAUAGAGUUCUUGUUCAACUCUUCUACUUUAUCAAGACUUUAAUCAUUCAUGCACCCUUCACUAGUGUUUUCUUUCUGGGGUCCUAAAAAAAAUGAAAAAUAUAUAAUCUGAAAUUUGAGAAAGUUUCAAAAUACGUUGAAUGCUUACUGAUUCAACUACCUGUUUGAUCAACUGAGCGUCCUCUAGUUGCCAGGUGUAGUUCAGCACCCCUUGAUGUAAAGAACGUUAGAAAAGCAAUCAACUGGAUCCUCUCAUUCUAUUCAUCUUCAAGGACAAAGUUUUGCAUCAACUAGCUUCAUUUGCACAUAGCCAUACCUUCAGCCAUUUGGAUCUUCCUCUUUUUUUUUCCUCCUUAAAUGUCUAUCAUCAAGUUUUUCUGAGUUAUUUAAUUAUUCUCUUUCAUUUCAUCUUUUUCAUCUCUCUUUCUUUAAUUUUUAUCACAACAUUUGUUACAUCUAUUAUUUUUCUUUUCUCGUCUUAGUUUCCAUCAUACAUCCCAUUUUUGGGGGUGAUCCGUUUAACAUUUUUCUGUCCUUUUUUUGUUCGUGAUGACCAACAACAACCACAUCCUUCACCAGGGGGCUUCUGAGGUCUAACUAGGGGAUGUCGGUGCUGCUUUUGGAAUGUGGGUCAUUUCGUUCUUAAUUACACAUGUGAAAGGUAUACAUCAAUGAACCCUCUUCUCUGAUUGAUUGUGACUUGGUUUCUGUUUGAAUAUAUUCUUUCCUAGAUUGGAUACGUGGUAGUAUGGUUUUUGUGUUUUUGAAACUCUGGAUUUAAUUUCUGUGAUGCUUGGCUGAAGCCAAAGAAUUAGAUUUAAAACUGUAUCCUUGCCAAAGAAACUAGAUAAGCUAGUUUUUCAGUCAGGAAAGUUUAUAUUGGUUUGCUUGUCAUGAAAAUAUCACUAUUCAAGGGGAAAUUAUAAAAAAAUUAAUGUGAAUCGAUCUCACAUCUCUGUCACAUAACUUUAAUUUAAAUAUUUUUUCUUAAUUUUUUAUUUUUUUUCUAUACAACCAAACUUAUCAUAAAUCCAGCUUUAUAUGUGAAUGACUUUUUUUCUUUCCUGAUCAACAUUUUUAGGGUUGUAUUUUUAUAUUGAUACGUGGAAGAAAUUACAAAGCCUAUGUUUAAUAAAUAACAUGGAUUAAUUCAAGUAGUGUAUGUUUGGUUGUCUAUAAACAACAUCUUAAAUUUAAAUUUUGUAUAUAAAAAAUACUUUUGUUAAAUGAGAUAGGGGCACCAUUAUGUGAAUAUUAUCAAUCUUUUAAAAAGAAUAAUGAUACAUCAACAUGUCUAUUAUUUCAAACACUAUCAAUAAUUGUUAUUUUUUUUCUUCUAUUACAUCAUUUCUAGGUGUUGUAUUAGGAUUUGGGGUGUCUAUUAAACUUUUUUUUUAUAAAAAAAAUACAUGUAAUCUAAAAACACUAAAUUCAAUUUUGGAAGUGAAAUUGAUGUUUAAACAAUUGUUUUUUUUAUGAGUUAGCUUCUUGUUUUGGUUUUAUGAGAUUUUUUUUAAUUUUGAUGUUUUUGAAAGACGACCAUAAUUUCUCUUCCUUCAUCUCAUAAUUAGGCAUGUGUUUAUAAUUAUAUUCGAGUUCCAUAUUCCAACUCAAACUUUGGUUUGUUCAUUAGCUUUAGGGCUAGCUUGUUUGGUUUACACCAAAAAUUAAGUUCUCUCUCGUGAUGUGGUCUCUAUUAUCAGUCUAUAUGAACCUUUUUUUUGAUAAUUUAAGACCAUUUUAGUGAGGCUAGAACUAUGAAGCUCACCUCCAUUAUCUUUUCCCAAAAUCUUGCACGUACGUAUCACCGAAUCUAGUUUUCACAUCUUGGGUAAAAGUUAGGAAAAAGUUGAAGCUCACCUCCAUUAUCUUUUUUUGAAGAUAACACGUAUCAAUAAUGAAUCUCGUUUGACAUCAUAUCUUGGGUAAAAGUUAGGAAAAAGUUAGAUCGUACACCUAAUUUUGAGGUGUGUGAGUGGAAGGAAGAGUGUGAUAUAAUGAAAAAUUAAAUUAUAAGAAAAAAAAAGAGAAAACAAUAAAUAUAAUAAAUGAUAUGAAAAAUGAAGAAAGAAAAAAGAAAAAUAAAAUAAAAGUGAAAUGGAGUGGAAGGUGCGAGGAUAUAUAAUAUAAUAUCCAAUCAAUUUAUGAACUGAAAACAAUACUAAUACAUGAACUAUUGGUUCAUGAAUGUUUAAAAGUAAUGAAACUUAAAUACAUUAUCAUUAUGUUUUUCCUCGUGGAAACAAUAUUUAGAAAUAUAUCUACCUUCUGUUAUUGUUUUUUCGUUAGCAGAGUUUUUAUUCUAACUUCUAAACUGCUUUUUUAAAUGCAUGUUCAAAAGAAGAAGCGACAAAAUGGAACACAGGUCUUAAUAAACUGUACCAUCCAAUGAGUUUACUACCAUGCAAAAUUGCAUAUAUAGCCGGAAGCUUAGGAAGUCCUCCAAAGAAAAAGUUGAACACAUUUUGCGGAGGAAAAGUCUAUGCGAUUCAAUGAAAGAUUGCGAAUUGAGAGGAAUUAAGUGGAAGAAGAGAAGGAAGAAGAUGAAGCACGUUGCUGACCAAGGUAUGACGUGAAAAACGUGUUGCAAAUGAAGCUAGCUGGUGCCAAACGUGUCCUUGAAGAUAAAUACAAUGAGGUGGUCCAUUUGAUUACUUUUUCUAACGUUCUUUAGAUCAAUGGGUGCUGAACUACACCAAGAAACUAGAGGACGCUCAGGUGAUCAAACAGGCACUUGAAUCAGAAGGCAUUUAACGUGUUAUACAUGGAACUUAAAUUUUUUUUCUGAAACAGAUAAUGUAAUUUUCAUUUUUCAGUUCUGAAUGGCAAUACUAGUGAGAGUGUAAACCACAAUCCACAUUGAAAGUCUUGAUAAAGAAGGGUUGAAUAAAAACUCUAUUACAUCAAUCAAGUCCCUCCAGUGAUUAUAACACUGUUUUGAAC
rnacentral:lncRNA from 1 species